GCUUUGUGACUAGCAGGAGAUCUUGCUGAGAGCAGUAGUUAUAGUAGUAGAAUAAAAAGUGUCUGAAGCCAUUUCUUUACUAUAACCUAACUUAUGCUACCUAAACCAUUAUAUUUUCUGAAAACAAACAACUGAGCAAAAAUCUGUUAAUUUGCCUGAAACAGAACGCUAUAAAACUGGCAAGCUACAGAAAGUACUGCCAUGUCCACCAUGCAGACUUUGGUAAAGAAGAGGUAGUCAUGUUACCUUCACAACAGUCAUCUGAUUGCAUGAUCAGUUUGAAGCCAGGAGGCCAAAUUCUAGCAAAGAAAUCGUAUUUCAUGUCUAGAUACAAUUUAGCCAUUCUCAAGAAAUAUUUGCAUACCAAUAUCAAAAAAGGAUUUAUUACCCUUCCAACUCACCAGCACUGGCAGCCAAAAACAAGGAAAAACACCAACCACUCUAAAGGAUGAUUCUAAUUCAUGAUUAUAAAGAUCUAAACAGGUUAAAAAUUAGAAGCUAUCAUCCACUCCUCCUUAUCUCAGAUCUUUUAGAUCAGCUAUAAAAAAACACAGAUCUUUAUAAAACUAGACUUCAGGAGUGCUCAAACAGAAUGUAAAAAAGGACAUGAAUAUUUAAUAACCUUCAAUACAAGAUGCGGAAAGUUUGAAUACACAGCGAUACCUUUCAGUCUGGUUAACUAUGGAGCUGCUUUUUUUCUAGAUCUAAUAUUUUCAAAAAUAGUACUGUACUAAUAUGUACUUAGAUGACAUAUUAGUUUAUUCUGAAUAUCCCCUCUUGUAUGUCACCCAUGUCAGAAAUGUAUUGCAAAAAUUACAGGACAAUAAACUUUGCCAAACUAGAAAAAUGCA